GACGAACGCUGGCGGCGUGCUUAACACAUGCAAGUCGAACGGAAAGGCCCCUUUGGGGGUCCUCGAGUGGCGAACGGGUGAGUAACACGUGAGUAACCUGCCCUUGACUUCGGGAUAACUUCAGGAAACUGGGGCUAAUACCGGAUAGGAAUCCUUGCUGCAUGGUGGGGGUUGGAAAGCUUCGGCGGUUUUGGAUGGACUCGCGGCUUAUCAGCUUGUUGGUGGGGUAGUGGCUUACCAAGGCGUUGACGGGUAGCCGGCCUGAGAGGGCGACCGGCCACAUUGGGACUGGGAUACGGCCCAGACUCCUACGGGAGGCAGCAGUGGGGAAUAUUGCACAAUGGGCGGAAGCCUGAUGCAGCAACGCCGCGGGCGGGAUGACGGCCUUCGGGUUGUAAACCGCUUUCAGCAGGGGCGAAGCUUGUGGUGACGGUACCUGCAGAAGAAGCACCGGCUAACUACGUG
rnacentral:rRNA from 1 species